ensembl:lncRNA
GGAGCAGCUAAACCUCCAGGAUCGGGGAAGGACCUGGCUGGUGCGUGGCCAAUCCCAUCCCCCUCUGCUGGGAGCUGGUUCAGUGAUGGGCUUGGGAGCUGAUGGGAUGAAAGGAGAGGUUUUCUGGGGCAAUCUGCCGUGUCCUCACUCUAAGGAGAAAGCGAGAGAAAGAGAGGGUCUUUUCUGCCAGAACUUCUCAAUAUUCUCCUACAGAUGAACUCAGCCCCCAGGGGAAAACAGAGCCCCUGGAAAUGGAACUCCAGCUUGUGGAUUUGGUCAGCCCUGACUGUGUCCUGUGAAUGUUCCAGCUGUGGGAGCCAAGAGAGUUUCUCGUUGUGUCAAUAUAAGCCGGUUGAGUUCAGUGUGUGUUACUGGACACCGAAAGCGUUCUAUUUACAUGAUACAAAUAGAGGAAAGCCAGCAUCAAAGGAACAAAAACAGAAUUUCUACCCCGCAAACCAUAUUUUGUCCUCCUGGGCAAAGUAACUACUUUGGAGAAAAGCACGUUGGUGCUCUAGGAAGAACCCAGCCUCACUACUGUGGAAUUCUUGCCUAAAGUGCAGCAACUGAAUCGACUCAUGAGGAAAUAGCCAACAAAUCCGAGUGGAAGGAUAAUCUGUAAAGCAACUGGGAUUCUGCUCUUCAAAAAUGCCAGUGUGAGACAGAAAGAGUCAGAAAACGUCCCAAAUCACAGGAGACCAAAGGGACAAGAUGACGGAAUUCAAGCAUUGCAUUGCUUAAGAUAAAAUCUUAACAAGGUCUGUAGAUUAGAUAGUAGCAUUAUUUCAGUAUUAAUCUCCUUAUUUUUGAUCACUGUCCUGUGGUCAUGCAAGAAAAUUUAAGAAAAUACAAACAAGUGUUCUGUAAAAAUAGGGAGUAAAAGAUCGUCAUAUCUAAACUUACUCUUCCUGAUACCUCAGUUGGUAAAGAAUCUAUCUGCAAUGCAGGAGACCCCGGUUCAAUUCCUGAGUGGAAAAAAUCCAUUGGAGAAGGGAUAGGCUACCCACUCCAGUAUUCUUGACCUUUCCUUGUGGCUCAGCUGGUAAGGAAUCUGCCUACAAUAUGGGAGACCUGGCUUCAAUCCCUGGGUUGGGAAGAUCCCCUGGAGAAGGGAAAGGCUACCCACUUCAGUAUUCUGGCCUAGAGAUAUUCCAUGGACUAUACUGUCCAUGGGGUAGCAGUCGAACAUGGCUGAGCAACUUUCACUUUUGCUUUCAAACUUACUCUUAGAUGGGCAUUAGAGGACUUUCUGGCUAACAAAAAAGUUCCAUACCUUGACUACAGUGGUGGUUACAAGGGUUAUAUAAAUGUAUUUAUUUGCCAAAGGUGUCAAACUUAAGUGCAUGAAUUUAUUGUUUGUAACCAUAUCUCUAUAAAUACAGCUGAUUUUUAAAGCUGCUGUUCACUUUGAUAGUGUAUAAUGUUGUUUGUGAAAUAGUUACAUAAGUAAUAUGAACUAAGUUCCUGUUGUUUUUUAUGUGUACGGUUUCAAAAUGAUU